rnacentral:sRNA from 1 species
UUUUUUUUGAGAUGGAGUCUCGCUCUGUCGCCCAGGCUGGAGUGCUGGAGUGCAGUGACACAAUCUCAGCUCACUGCAAGCUCCACCUCCCGGGUUCACGCCAUUCUCCUGCCUCAGCCUCCCAAGUAGCUGGGACUACAGGCACCCGCCACCAUGUCUUGCUAAUUUUUUGUAUUUUUAGUAGAGAUGGGGUUUCACCGUGUAGCCAGGAUGGUCUCGAUCUCCUGACCUCAUGAUCUGCCCGCCUCAGCCUUCCAAAGUGCUGGGAUUACAGGUGUGAGCCACCACGCCCAGCCCCUACUUUUUGUUUUUCAAUGCUGUACCCAGUGACCUUGCUAAAUUUGCUUAUUCUAACAGUUGGCCCCAGCAUCUUGAUUUUCUAGGUAUAUUGUGUUGUCUGUGUGUAAUGUCAGUUUUUAAAUUUCUUCUUUCCUAAUCGUUAUGCCUUUUGUUUCUUUUUCUUGCUUCAUUAUACUUGGAAUAGAAGUGGUAUUAGCAGGCAUUUUGGUCUUGUUCCUGAAGGUAACCGUUUUGAUUUACAUUGUGUGGUCCCGUCACAUUUGUUUCAUUCUGCAGGUGCUUUUUGGUUCCUUCUCAGGGGGUAGUGCCCCAGCAGCAGGGCUCACUACAACCCUGGGACUCCUGGGUCUGUGAGCCAUACUUGGUUGAGCAGGCUGAACACACCAGUAUCCAUCCUGUCUCACUCUCAAGUCCUCAUCUAGGACAUCAUUCCUCUUGUCAUGGCGGGUGGAGCAAGUUCAAGUGGGAGGACAGGAGGCAGGUGUGGCUGGAAGAAGCAGCCUGAACCUGCCUCCGUGACAUUCCACAGGUGAACCCAGACACUGGCUACAUCAACUAUGACCAGCUGGAGGAGAAUGCACGCCUCUUCCACCCGAAGCUGAUCAUCGCAGGAACCAGCUGCUACUCCCGAAACCUGGACUAUGCCCGGCUGCGGAAGAUUGCAGAUGAGAACGGGGCGUAUCUCAUGGCGGACAUGGCUCACAUCAGCGGGCUGGUGGCGGCUGGUGUGGUGCCCUCCCCAUUUGAACACUGCCACGUGGUGACCACCACCACUCACAAGACCCUGCGAGGCUGCCGAGCUGGCAUGAUCUUCUACCGGAAAGGAGUGCAAAGUGUGGAUCCCAAGACUGGCAAAGAGAUUCUGUACAACCUGGAGUCUCUCAUCAAUUCUGCUGUGUUCCCUGGCCUGCAGGGAGGUCCCCACAACCACGCCAUUGCGGGGGUUGCUGUGGCACUGAAGCAAGCUAUGACUCUGGAAUUUAAAGUUUAUCAACACCAGGUGGUGGCCAACUGCAGGGCUCUGUCUGAGGCACUGACGGAGCUGGGCUACAAAAUAGUCACAGGUGGUUCUGACAACCAUUUGAUCCUCGUGGAUCUCCGUUCCAAAGGCACAGAUGGUGGAAGGGCUGAGAAGGUGCUAGAAGCCUGUUCUAUUGCCUGCAACAAGAACACCUGUCCAGGUGACAGAAGCGCUCUGCGGCCCAGUGGACUGCGGCUGGGGACCCCAGCACUGACGUCCCGUGGACUUUUGGAAAAAGACUUCCAAAAAGUAGCCCACUUUAUUCACAGAGGGAUAGAGCUGACCCUGCAGAUCCAGAGCGACACUGGUGUCAGAGCCACCCUGAAGGAGUUCAAGGAGAGACUGGCAGGGGAUAAGUACCAGGGGGCCGUGCAGGCUCUCCGGGAGGAGGUUGAGAGCUUCGCCUCUCUCUUCCCUCUGCCUGGCCUGCCUGACUUCUAAAGGAGCCAGCCCACUCUGGACCCACCUGGCACCACAGAGGAAGCUGCCUGCCGGAGGACCCCCACUUGAGAGAUGGAUGAGCUGCUCCAAAGGGGAACCGUUGACACUUGGGCCCUUUGAAGGGAUUUCUUUUGGACUUUUUUCAUGUUUUCUUCACAAAUCAAAAUUAGUUUAAGUCUCAUUGUUAGUAAUUCUGGGACAGGUUAUUAAAAGAUUCAAAUUUGAACCUGGCUUUCUCACAGCUGGAUAUAAUUCUAGAAAAAUAAAAUACUAUGUAGCCACUUGGCCAUAAUCAUUUAGACCGUGGUGUAGGGCAAAGCUGUUAGAAAGAUUCUAGCGUUUUACUCUCCCUGGGCUUUCCUUCGCCUUGCUGCAACAGAGAGGAAAUGCCCAUGUCCACAGUUGGUACACACUGCCCCUCUCACUAGCUUGUUAUCCAGUGGCAUGCCAAAGGAGAACUGAAUUCGCCUCUGAAGUUUCUGCUGUAAAUCAGAAGUGUAUGUUAGUCAAGUGUACACAAGAUGCACCCAGUAUGAAGGGAGGGUUUUGCUGUCAGUAGCUCAAAGUAUGGUGUAGAAAUGGUCUCCUCCCUCCAUCCUGGGAAGUCCCAGUCCCAUCCUGGUGUGAGAAUCAACCAGGCUUUCCUGCUCCACCUGAGAUAACCAACUCCCUCCCGUAAUCAGGAAGCCAAAUGUCACCUUCCCAAAGAAACUUUAUUUUCACGUAGCUGAAGUGCAAAACAUAGAUGACCAUUUUUAAUAAGCACAAUCAAAUUUUUAACCACAGAAUGUCUACAAGAAUUAUAGCUUUAAAAAAUACACCCAAUUUUUAUAUUUCAAAAAUAUUUGAACUCAAAUAAAUUAAUUUCUUAAAAAGUA